rnacentral:rRNA from 1 species
ACGAACGCUGGCGGCGUGCUUAACACAUGCAAGUCGAACGGAAAGGCCCUGCUUUUGUGGGGUGCUCGAGUGGCGAACGGGUGAGUAACACGUGAGUAACCUGCCCUUGACUUUGGGAUAACUUCAGGAAACUGGGGCUAAUACCGGAUAGGAGCUCCUGCUGCAUGGUGGGGGUUGGAAAGUUUCGGCGGUUGGGGAUGGACUCGCGGCUUAUCAGCUUGUUGGUGGGGUAGCGGCUUACCAAGGCUUUGACGGGUAGCCGGCCUGAGAGGGUGACCGGCCACAUUGGGACUGAGAUACGGCCCAGACUCCCACGGGAGGCAGCAGUGGGGAAUAUUGCACAAUGGGCGGAAGCCUGAUGCAGCAACGCCGCGUGCGGGAUGACGGCCUUCGGGUUGUAAACCGCUUUCGCCUGUGACGAAGCGUGAGUGACGGUAAUGGGUAAAGAAGCACCGGCUAACUACGUG